UACGUAGGGGGCAAGCGUUGUCCGGAAUCAUUGGGCGUAAAGAGCGUGUAGGCGGCUCGGUAAGUCCGUUCUGAAAGUCCAGGGCUCAACCCUGGGAUGCGGAUGGAUACUGUCGGGCUCGAGUCCGGAAGAGGCGAGUGGAAUUCCCGGCGUAGCGGUGAAAUGCGCAGAUAUCGGGAGGAACACCAAUGGCGAAGGCAGCUCGCUGGGACGUGACUGACGCUGAGACGCGAAAGCGUGGGGAGCAAACAGG
rnacentral:rRNA from 1 species